rnacentral:rRNA from 1 species
UUAGAGUUUGAUCCUGGCUCAGGAUGAACGCUAGCGGCAGGCUUAACACAUGCAAGUCGAGGGGCAGCAUGUCCAGCAAUGGAUGAUGGCGACCGGCGGAAGGGUGCGUAACGCGUGAGCAACAUGCCCUAUACAGGGAGAUACACCAGGGAAACUUGGUCUAAUAUCCCAUAGCAUUCAUUGAAGGCAUCUUUAAUGAAUUAAAGCUUCGGUGGUAUAGGAUUGGCUCGCGUGACAUUAGCCAGAUGGUGAGGUAACGGCUCACCAUAGCAAUGAUGUCUAGGGGUUUUGAGAGGAAGGCCCCCCCCACUGGGACUGAGACACGGCCCAGACUCCUACGGGAGGCAGCAGUGAGGAAUAUUGGACAAUGGAUGGAAAUCUGAUCCAGCCAUGCCGCGUGCAGGAAGACGGCCUUAUGGGUUGUAAACUGCUUUUAUACGGGAGCAAUAAGGGUUACGAGUAAUCCGAUGAGAGUACUGUAUGAAUAAGGAUCGGCUAACUCCGUGCCAGCAGCCGCGGUAAUACGGAGGAUCCGAGCGUUAUCCGGAAUUAUUGGGUUUAAAGGGUGCGUAGGCGGCCAUUUAAGUCAGCGGUGAAAUUUUGCAGCUUAACUGUAACAGUGCCGUUGAUACUGUUUGGCUAGGAUUUGGUUGUAGUGUGCGGAAUGUGUGGUGUAGCGGUGAAAUGCUUAGAUAUCACACAGAACACCGAUUGCGAAGGCAGCACACUAAGUCAUUAUUGACGCUGAGGCACGAAAGUGUGGGGAUCAAACAGGAUUGGAUACCCUGGUAGUCCACACUGUAAACGAUGAUAACUCGCUGUAGGCGAUACACAGUCGGUGGCCAAGCGAAAGCACUAAGUUAUCCACCUGGGGAGUGAGACCGCAAGGUUGAAACUCAAAGGAAUUGACGGGGGGCCGCACAGGCGGAGGAACAUGUGGUUUAAUGGUGAUGAUACGCGGGGAGCCUUACCCGGGCUCGAACGGUGCAUGAAUAUACGAGAGAUUGUAUAGUCCUUCGGGACAUGUAUCGAGGUGCUGCAUGGUUGUCGUCAGCUCGUGCCGUGAGGUGUCGGCUUAAGUGCCAUAACGAGCGCAACCCUUGUCAUUAGUUGCCAUCAGGUCAAGCUGGGGGCUUUAAUGAGACUGCCACCGUAAGGUGUGAGGAAGGGGGGGGGGACGUCAAAUCUGCCCGGCCCUUCUGUCCGGG